rnacentral:rRNA from 1 species
GACGAACGCUGGCGGCGUGCCUAAUACAUGCAAGUAGGACGCAUUUGCGAACGGUAGAGUAACGCGUAGGUGACUACCUAUUAUAGGGGGAUAACUAUUGGAACCGAUAGCUAAUACCGCAUACUAGUAGAUGGACCUGCGUUGUAUUAACUAGUAGGUAGGGGAAUGGCAUACCAAGGCAACGAUACAUAACCCACCUGAGAGGGUGAACGGCCAACACGGGAAUGGAACAAGGCCCAGACUCCUACGGGAGGCAGCAGGAGGGAAUCUUCGGCAAUGGGGGGAACCCUGACCGAGCAACGCCGCGUGAGUGAAGAAGGUUUUCGGAUCGUAAAGCUCUGUUGUGAAGGAAGCGGUACUUAACCAGAAAGGGACGGCUAACUACGUGCCAGCAGCCGCGGUAAUUC